rnacentral:rRNA from 1 species
UGGGGAAUAUUGCACAAUGGGCGAAAGCCUGAUGCAGCAACGCCGCGUGAGUGAUGAAGGCCUUCGGGUUGUAAAGCUCUGUCUUUUGGGACGAUAAUGACGGUACCAAAGGAGGAAGCCACGGCUAACUACGUGCCAGCAGCCGCGGUAAUACGUAGGUGGCAAGCGUUGUCCGGAUUUACUGGGCGUAAAGGAUGCGCAGGCGGAUUUUUAAGUGAGAUGUGAAAACCCUAAGCUUAACUUGGGGACUGCAUUUCAUACUGGAAAUCUAGAGUGCGGGAGAGGAGAAUGGAAUUCCUAGUGUAGCGGUGAAAUGCGUAGAGAUUAGGAAGAACACCAGUGGCGAAGGCGAUUCUCUGGACCGUAACUGACGCUGAGGCAUGAAAGCGUGGGUAGCAAACAGGAUUAGAUACCCUGGUAGUCCACGCCGUAAACGAUGAGUACUAGGUGUAGGAGGUAUCGACCCCUUCUGUGCCGCAGUUAACACAAUAAGUACUCCGCCUGGGAAGUACGAUCGCAAGAUUAAAACUCAAAUGAAUUGACGGGGGUCAUAGCUGUUUU